rnacentral:rRNA from 1 species
CUACACAUGCAGUCGAGCGGUAACAGAAAGUAGCUUGCUACUUUGCUGACGAGCGGCGGACGGGUGAGUAAUGCUUGGGAACAUGCCUUGAGGUGGGGGACAACAGUUGGAAACGACUGCUAAUACCGCAUAAUGUCUACGGACCAAAGGGGGCUUCGGCUCUCGCCUUUAGAUUGGCCCAAGUGGGAUUAGCUAGUUGGUGAGGUAAUGGCUCACCAAGGCAACGAUCCCUAGCUGGUUUGAGAGGAUGAUCAGCCACACUGGAACUGAGACACGGUCCAGACUCCUACGGGAGGCAGCAGUGGGGAAUAUUGCACAAUGGGCGCAAGCCUGAUGCAGCCAUGCCGCGUGUGUGAAGAAGGCCUUCGGGUUGUAAAGCACUUUCAGUCAGGAGGAAAGGUUAGUAGUUAAUACCUGCUAGCUGUGACGUUACUGACAGAAGAAGCACCGGCUAACUCCGUGCCAGCAGCCGCGGUAAUACGGAGGGUGCGAGCGUUAAUCGGAAUUACUGGGCGUAAAGCGUACGCAGGCGGUUUGUUAAGCGAGAUGUGAAAGCCCCGGGCUCAACCUGGGAACUGCAUUUCGAACUGGCAAACUAGAGUGUGAUAGAGG